rnacentral:rRNA from 1 species
CCUACGGGCGGCUGCAGUGAGGAAUAUUGGACAAUGGAGGAAACUCUGAUCCAGCCAUCCCGCGUGAAGGAAUAAGGUCCUAUGGAUUGUAAACUUCUUUUAUACAGGAAUAAACCUAUCCACGUGUGGGUAGCUGAAGGUACUGUAAGAAUAAGCACCGGCUAACUCCGUGCCAGCAGCCGCGGUAAUACGGAGGGUGCAAGCGUUAUCCGGAUUUAUUGGGUUUAAAGGGUCCGUAGGCGGACACAUAAGUCAGUGGUGAAAUCUCAUAGCUU